GUGGGUCAGGCUCGUUAGCAAGUGCUGGGGGAGGCUAUAUAAGAACCUCCAGGAGAACUACUCAGCCAUUUGCUGCUCAGGCUUGACUCUUCCUCAGAACCAAUUAAGGUGAGUGAGGGGUGGGUCAGGCUCGUUAGCAAGUGCUGGGGGAGGCUAUAUAAGAACCUCCAGGAGAACUACUCAGCCAUUUGCUGCUCAGGCUUGACUCUUCCUCAGAACCAAUUAAGGUGAGUGAGGGGUGGGUCAGGCUCGUUAGCAAGUGCUGGGGGAGGCUAUAUAAGAACCUCCAGGAGAACUACUCAGCCAUUUGCUGCUCAGGCUUGACUCUUCCUCAGAACCAAUUAAGGUGAGUGAGGGGUGGGUCAGGCUCGUUAGCAAGUGCUGGGGGAGGCUAUAUAAGAACCUCCAGGAGAACUACUCAGCCAUUUGCUGCUCAGGCUUGACUCUUCCUCAGAACCAAUUAAGGUGAGUGAGGGGUGGGUCAGGCUCGUUAGCAAGUGCUGGGGGAGGCUAUAUAAGAACCUCCAGGAGAACUACUCAGCCAUUUGCUGCUCAGGCUUGACUCUUCCUCAGAACCAAUUAAGGUGAGUGAGGGGUGGGUCAGGCUCGUUAGCAAGUGCUGGGGGAGGCUAUAUAAGAACCUCCAGGAGAACUACUCAGCCAUUUGCUGCUCAGGCUUGACUCUUCCUCAGAACCAAUUAAGGUGAGUGAGGGGUGGGUCGGGCUCGUUAGCAAGUGCUGGGGGAGGCUAUAUAAGAACCUCCAGGAGAACUACUCAGCCAUUUGCUGCUCAGGCUUGACUCUUCCUCAGAACCAAUUAAGGUGAGUGAGGGGUGGGUCAGGCUCGUUAGCAAGUGCUGGGGGAGGCUAUAUAAGAACCUC